rnacentral:rRNA from 1 species
AUUGAACGCUGGCGGAAUGCUUUACACAUGCAAGUCGAACGGCAGCACGGGUGCUUGCACCUGGUGGCGAGUGGCGAACGGGUGAGUAACAUAUCGGAACGUAUCCAAUAAUGGGGGAUAACUAAUCGAAAGGUUGGCUAAUACCGCAUACGCCCUACGGGGGAAAGCUAGGGACCUUCGGGCCUGGCGUUAAUGGAGCGGCCGAUAUCUGAUUAGCUAGUUGGUGGGGUAAUGGCCUACCAAGGCGACGAUCAGUAGCUGGUCUGAGAGGACGACCAGCCACACUGGAACUGUGACACGGUCCAGACUCCUACGGGAGGCAGCAGUGGGGAAUUCUGGACAAUGGGCGCAAGCCUGAUCCAGCCAUUCCGCGUGAGUGAAGAAGGCCUUCGGGUUGUAAAGCUCUUUCGCAAGGGAAGAAAACUUAUCCUCUAACAUAGGAUGAGGUUGACGGUACCUUGAUAAGAAGCACCGGCUAACUACGUGCCAGCCGCCGCCGUAAUAC